GACGACGCUGGCGGCGUGCCUAACACAUGCAAGUCGAGCGAAUGAAGUUCCUUCGGGAACGGAUUUAGCGGCGGACGGGUGAGUAACACGUGGGCAACCUGCCUCAUAGAGGGGAAUAGCCUUCCGAAAGGGAGAUUAAUACCGCAUAAGAUUGUAGUGCCGCAUGGUACAGCAAUUAAAGGAGCAAUCCGCUAUGAGAUGGGCCCGCGGCGCAUUAGCUAGUUGGUGAGGUAACGGCUCACCAAGGCGACGAUGCGUAGCCGACCUGAGAGGGUGAUCGGCCACAUUGGGACUGAGACACGGCCCAGACUCCUACGGGAGGCAGCAGUGGGGAAUAUUGCACAAUGGGGGAAACCCUGAUGCAGCAACGCCGCGUGAGUGAUGACGGCCUUCGGGUUGUAAAGCUCUGUCUUCAGGGACGAUAAUGACGGUACCUGAGGAGGAAGCCACGGCUAACUACGUG
rnacentral:rRNA from 1 species